GGGUGAGUUCUGGGCUGGGCCAGCCCAGCUUGGAGGUGUGAGAGGCUGAGCCACUGCUCAGCUUAGCGGGGGGACCACUUAGUGGCCAGCACCCUGAGGGAGGCCCCAGCAUCCCCUACCUAGCCUGGCAGCACGUGCGGGAUAAAUAUGGGGGCACUGCUGCCUGUGGGCCAGCCCAGCAUAGCCAUGAGUGUGUGGGGAAAGCAGACAGAGACAGGGUCUUGCUCUGGUGCCCAGGCUGAGGUGCCUUGGUGUGAUCACAGCUCACGGUAACCUCGAAUUCCUGGGCUUAAGUGAUCUUCCCACUUCCAUCUCUUGAAUUGCUGACACUACAGGCACCUGCCUCCACCACCAGGCCCAGCCCACAGGUCCUUUGACCUCAGUGACAGGCCCUCACCUACCUGAACCCCCAAACUGAAGCCUCACCUUUCCCAGCCAUCUCCACACACUCUGGGCUACCCUCAGGGGGCCCUGUGGGCAUUCUCAUUACCAUGGCACGUAUUCCCUCUGCUCCAGGACAAAAACAAACGAGGUCCCAGACCUGACCCACAAGACCCAAGCAUUCCA